rnacentral:rRNA from 1 species
UGGCGGCGUGCUNAUACAUGCAAGUCGAACGGACUUAGCGGAGCUUGCUCUGCGAAAGUUAGUGGCGGACGGGUGAGUAACGCGUGAGCAACCUGGCCUUCGAAGGGGGACAACAGCUGGAAACGGCUGCUAAUACCGCAUGAUAUACAGUUAUGGCAUCAUGAUUGUAUCAAAGAUUUAUCGUCGAAGGAUGGGCUCGUGUCUGAUUAGCUGGUUGGUAGGGUAACGGCCUACCAAGGCGACGAUCAGUAGCCGGACUGAGAGGUUGACCGGCCACAUUGGGACUGAGAUACGGCCCAGACUCCUACGGGAGGCAGCAGUAGGGAAUAUUGGGCAAUGGGGGCAACCCUGACCCAGCAACGCCGCGUGAAGGAAGAAGGCAUUCGUGUUGUAAACUUCUUUGACGAGGGAUGAAUGUGAUGACAGUACCUCGAGAACAAGCCACGGCUAACUACGUGCCAGCAGCCGCGGUAAUACGUAGGUUGGCGAGCGUUAUCCGGAAUUACUGGGUGUAAAGGGCGUGUAGGCGGGUUAUUAAGUCUGACGUGAAAUCCAGGGGCUUAACCCCUGAAUGGCGUUGGAAAC